rnacentral:lncRNA from 1 species
GGGGUAAUCUGAUUGUACCAACACAGCGACCUUGAAAGUCACUUGCUUCUUUCUCCUGCCCCCUUCCAAAAAGUAAGACCGCAGAGUGGGAAAGAGUGCUUUGUAGCAACACUCAGCACCCUGCAUUGGUGGGAUUUAGGGCUUUGUCCUCAGUAUCUGUGGCAUUUGGGUAUCACCUGUGCCAACCGAUAAGCACUUUAACCACUGCAGCUAUGUCCAGCAGGGCUGAUAAGUCACGGCAUUCUGCCACCUACGCUCACAACCCAGCCAGUUAAUGUAAGCUGAAAUCGAUGCGCCAAGCCAUGAAGAGUGCACAUAAUGUACCAGCCAUUCAAUUGCCUCUGCUGUAGCAGCAACAACCUCUGGCAGAGAGAAAGGACAGGCAGCUGGAGAUGAUAACCUUUUAAAUUGCUCUAACAUGCAUUUGGAAAGCCUAUAAAUCUGAAUCCCUAAAUACAAAUUCUCUGCCAUGAAGAAUAACUGGAAGUGCAUAACAGAGUUUUUUCUGCAUUGCAGACUGCUAGAGGCAAACAGUUCACUCACUCUUUACAGAGGGACAAUCAAACCUUCAGACCUGCUGCUCAAUGCAGUAUGUUUAUAAAGAACCUGAUAGUGGUCAUCAUUAGGACCACUGAAUGUGAUAAUGAUUUAUGGACCACAGUCUUCUCCACAGGCAGCUGUUCACUGUCAUGUGCCCUAUGCUGAGCAUGUAUUUCCUUCAAGUCAACCAAUCCAUAGCUCUCCUUUCAUCUUCACUCUUCUGGGUUGGAACAAUUGAACCUCCUGCUCUGUAGUGAAUGGCUUUUUGUUACUCUGGGCAAGGCAGAGGCCUGAUUUCUGUCUGGAUGAGGAUUUCUGCUGUGUAAACAUUUCCAGAACAGCAUGCAUUAACUGAGAGAAGGAGCUAUCUGACUGUAUUUUGACUUCACAAAAUCUGAGUUUUCAUAUGAAUUAGAAAUAUUUUGUUCUUUGCAUGUGUUGUGUAUAUAGGUGCAUAUUUAUUAAAAUGCACUGUGAGGCCUGAAGUGAUGUCCUGUAAAGUAGUUUAAUAUCUUUUACUGGGAUGCAGUGUUCCUCUGAAAGCAGUGAUCAGUGACUCUUCAAGUUGUCCCUACUGUUCUACCCC